ACAGGUUAAUCCCGCUCCUGAAACUCGAAGCUUCUUCUUUUUUUCCAUCAAAACAAAUGACCGCCAGAAACAAAUAUACAAGAGAAAGAAAAAGGAAAGACAAGAGAUGGACAAAAUGAAGAACGAAGAGGUUCAAUCAACGGCCAAAAAGCAGAGAAUCGCAACUCACACCCACAUCAAAGGCCUUGGUCUCGAUAUGGAUAAAAAAUCUUUGCAUGCAGCAGUUAUGGGUGGAGCUGCUUCAGCAAUGGCUGUGGGAAUUAUUUUUAUUGAAAGAUAUAAAUCUAGGAACAAUGUACCUAUUGAGCCUAGUGUUAAUACAUUGAUAGUGUUUUGUGUAGAGGUGAUACCCAUUGUAUGAACCAAAAAAGGAUGAGACUAGUUGCAUUUUUUAUAUUAUGUCACAUUCUUAGUAGGAAUAAUUUACUACAAUCAGUUAGAUAUGUGUCUAUGAGAGAGCAAGAUUAUAUUUUUGCAUCUAAUUGGUCAUAAUGUAAGUUUGCUGGUAAUUGGAUUGAAAUAUUUUAGAUCAAUUGAGACAGUUCAUUGAUACUUUAGAACUGUCUUGAAAGCAAUAUUGAAAUUAUAUAAAGAUAUGAUUAGGUUACCAGAUGAUUCCACUCCACCUGAAAUAAGGAAUAAUCAGAGAUAUUAUCUAUACUUUAAGGAUUGUGUAGGAGCAUUAGAUGGUACUCAUAUUCGUGCUUCUGUGCCACUUGAGAUUCAAGAAAGAUUUCGUGAUCGAAAAGGGGAAAUGACAUGAAAUGUUUUGGCUGCAAUCGGUUUUGACUUGAGAUUUAACUAUGUGCUUGCUGCUUGGGAGGGAAGUGCACAUGAUUCUUAUAUUUUGACUGAUGCAUUUUUGAGGCCUUGAGGAUUUAGCACUUCGAAAGGGUAGAUAAUGACAUUUAAAAAAUUAAUAAUUGAUAUCUUUUGAUAACUAAUUUAUUUAGCUAUAAUUUUUGUGAAUUUGUAGGUAAAUAUUAUCUUGCUGAUGAUGGAUAUGGCAUAUGGAAUGGAAUUUUAAGUCCAUAUCGAGGUGUUCGAAAUCAUUUGGAGGAGUUUAGUGAUCAUCAUCUUGAGAAUGAGAAGGAGCUUUUUAAACUUCGUCAUUCUUCAUUGCGAACUAGUGUUGAACGAGUAUUUGGAAUUUUGAAGAAGUAUUUUCGUGUGUUAGAUUUUGAACCAUUUUGGAAUUAUGACACACAAGGAGAUAUAGUUUUAGCUUGUUGUAUCAUCCAUAACCACAUAAUGGGAGUUGAUCCUAAUGACUCAAUCAAGAAUUAGUAGAUAACACAGAGUUUGAAAGGAUGAGAGUUCCUCAAACAGCUUGUGAAGAGAGAGAAGAAACUAAAGAAUGGAUGACAAAAAGAGAUGAAACUGCACAUGCUAUGUGGAUUGAUUUUAAGAAUGGGGGAAUUUAAUUUGUGAAUUGACUAUAAGAUUAUGAGGAUGUAGUUUUUCUGUUUUUUUUCCUUACAUUGAUACGUUGUGAAGGUUUUUAUUAUGUAUGUUGUUUUCUACUUGCUGGAAGACGUUGUUAUGAACAUUUAAGUUGUUAUUAACAGUUGAUAUAGACAUUUGUUUUUUUG